ensembl:lncRNA
CCCGGGCCUGCCGAGCUCGUGGUGCUGGGGUUGGGCGCUCUCAGGGCGCGGGGCGCAGGCUGCAGUCCGGCGUUGACCGCAGCCCGGGACGCGCCCGCAGCCCGGGAAGAGCUGGAAGUGAGCGCGCUCCGGGCGCAGCGGAGCGCACCUGCUAGGCGCGCCGCAGCGCCGAGACCUCUCCGAAAGCGGUGAGUACGGGCGCCGGCGGGGCACGCCUCACCCUAGUUGGGGGACACUUGGAGACAGCGCAGGUCGGACGCAGGCAGUUCCAGGGCUUGGUGUGCGUGGGAGAAUGGGCAGGGUCCCUGCUUGCUUCGGUCUUUGGGAAGAGCUUGGGGUCGACCCCAGUGAAAGUCUGUCGGCCGAGCUUCGCUUUCAGGCGACUCGGGCUCACCUGAGGUUCUAAUGUCUGGUGGGCCCUGUCUCGUGCUGUCCAGGGAUCCGAGGGUCCCGGGGUUAGCCGGUAACUCAGGGCGGUCGAGGGUUCACCUGGGCGUCCCCCGCCUCCCGUUUCUCCCGCGGCACCAUCCAGGGCACCACGUGCGGCUGUCGCCCGCAACUCUGCCUGUCAAGCGAAGCCCGCCCCCAGGGCAGGGGAGGGGACGCGGGGGCGGGGUGGGCUGUGCCCCGCGGGAACCCGGCUGUCCCGUGCGCCCUCCGGUGCCAGCUCGGCUCUCGCUGCCUGGCGUUCCCACGGGCUCCCGGGUGGUAGCGGACUGUGCGGUGGAGAGGCGCAGAGCCCUGCCCCGAGGGGCCAGAGGCCACCCGAGGGGCGCCCGGGCGCUCGGUUCUGGGAAAAAGCAGCGAAAGAGAGAAGCUCUCCAAGUGACUAGUCCGGGAGGUGCCCCCUCUCAAGGAGGCGACGAGAGCCCCGGAGCCCUUUUCCCGUGUGUCUUCGGCUUUGAACAAUCUUUAGCCGUUGGAGGCAGUAGGGCAGCGCCGGCCCCGGGGACCCUGGCCUGGUAUUAUUUCCCAAACCUGCCCUGCGAUUUUUGCGCAUCAGGAGCCAGACCCCGGCUGCGCACGCUGGCAGGACUGAGGCUCGCCUCCUGGGCGUGGGGAGCUGCGGCGCCUAGCGGAGCCCGCUUUCCGAGCUCCAGGGGCUUUGAGAGAGACCACCUCAAGGCAAGGGCGUUUGGAGAGCUGCUGUGGAGCCAGGGGCUUGGAAGAGUGAGGCAUGUAUUUUCAGCUGCACCUUCAAAAGGGGAGGGUUCCGUCACGACCAGAGAGGCAACAGCCCCUGAAUAUGACUACGAUUGCCUAGAUCUGCAGAGGCCUGGGAGUCUCCAGAUUGAUAGCUUAGAAUGCUAAAAAGCCAAUGCCUUCCAUGGAGAAUCGAAGGGCCAGCUGGCCAACACAACAGUGACCUGGAGCAAGGGAGUCAGAAGACAGUCCCAGCAAGCAAGAGGGACCUCCCAAGGGGCUGCCUUGAGUUGCCAAGGGCAGGCUGCUGGCACGCAGUUGUUGCAGCCCUCUGAUGUAAUGCUGUUGAGGUCCUCCACACAGGGGUGUCGGCAGGGCUGUGCCAGGGGCUGCCUGGUGAGUGACGACUCCUGCAGGUCUGACUGACCCCUCAUCCCUGCUUAGGAACCAGAGGGUGUCCAAGCCCCCU